GACGAACGCUGGCGGCGUGCUUAACACAUGCAAGUCGAACGGAAAGGCCCUGCUUUUGUGGGGUGCUCGAGUGGCGAACGGGUGAGUAACACGUGAGUAACCUGCCCUUGACUUUGGGAUAACUUCAGGAAACUGGGGCUAAUACCGGAUAGGAGCUCCUGCUGCAUGGUGGGGGUUGGAAAGUUUCGGCGGUUGGGGAUGGACUCGCGGCUUAUCGGCUUGUUGGUGGGGUAGUGGCUUACCAAGGCUUUGACGGGUAGCCGGCCUGAGAGGGUGACCGGGCACAAUGGGACUGCGAUACGGCCCAGACUCCUACGGGCGGCAGCGGUGGAGAAUAUUACGGAGUAGGCGGAAGCCUGAUACAACAACGCCGCGUUCGGGAUGACGGCUUUCGGGUUAUAAACCGCUUUCGCAUGAGACAAAGCGUGAGUGACGGUAAUGGAUAAAGAAGCACCGGCUAACUACGUG
rnacentral:rRNA from 1 species